rnacentral:rRNA from 1 species
AGAACCUGAAACCGUGUGCUUACAAGUAGUCAGAGCCCGUUAAUGGGUGAUGGCGUGCCUUUUGUAGAAUGAACCGGCGAGUUACGAUUUGAUGCAAGGUUAAGCAGUAAAUGUGGAGCCGUAGCGAAAGCGAGUCUGAAUAGGGCGUUUAGUAUUUGGUCGUAGACCCGAAACCAGGUGAUCUACCCUUGGUCAGGUUGAAGUUCAGGUAACACUGAAUGGAGGACCGAACCGACUUACGUUGAAAAGUGAGCGGAUGAACUGAGGGUAGCGGAGAAAUUCCAAUCGAACCUGGAGAUAGCUGGUUCUCUCCGAAAUAGCUUUAGGGCUAGCCUCAAGUGAUGAUUAUUGGAGGUAGAGCACUGUUUGGACGAGGGGCCCCUCUCGGGUUACCGAAUUCAGACAAACUCCGAAUGCCAAUUAAUUUAACUUGGGAGUCAGAACAUGGGUGAUAAGGUCCGUGUUCGAAAGGGAAACAGCCCAGACCACCAGCUAAGGUCCCAAAAUAUAUGUUAAGUGGAAAAGGAUGUGGCGUUGCCCAGACAACUAGGAUGUUGGCUUAGAAGCAGCCAUCAUUUAAAGAGUGCGUAAUAGCUCACUAGUCGAGUGACACUGCGCCGAAAAUGUACCGGGGCUAAACAUAUUACCGAAGCUGUGGAUUGUCCUUUGGACAAUGGUAGGAGAGCGUUCUAAGGGCGUUGAAGCAUGAUCGCAAGGACAUGUGGAGCGCUUAGAAGUGAGAAUGCCGGUGUGAGUAGCGAAAGACGGGUGAGAAUCCCGUCCACCGAUUGACUAAGGUUUCCAGAGGAAGGCUCGUCCGCUCUGGGUUAGUCGGGUCCUAAGCUGAGGCCGACAGGCGUAGGCGAUGGAUAACAGGUUGAUAUUCCUGUACCACCUAUA